UACGUAGGGUCCGAGCGUUGUCCGGAAUUACUGGGCGUAAAGCGUGCGCAGGCGGCUCGUGAGGUGUCACGUGAAAGCCCCGGGCUCAACCCGGGAGGGUCGUGGCAAACCGGCGAGCUUGAGGCCGGUAGAGGUGGGUGGAACUCCUGGUGGAGUGGUGAAAUGCGUAGAGAUCAGGAAGAACACCCGUGGCGAAGGCGGCCCACUGGGCCGGUACUGACGCUGAGGCACGAAGGCGUGGGGAGCGAACGGG
rnacentral:rRNA from 1 species